rfam:TPA: Bos taurus chromosome 4, whole genome shotgun sequence.
UCCCUGGUGGCUCAGACGGUAAAGCGUCUGCCCGCAAUGCAGGAGACCCGGGUUCGAUUCCUAGGUCGGGAA